AUUGAACGCUGGCGGCAGGCCUAACACAUGCAAGUCGAACGGUAACAGGGAUCAGCUUGCUGAUUCGCUGACGAGUGGCGGACGGGUGAGUAAUGUCUGGGAAACUGCCUGAUGGAGGGGGAUAACUACUGGAAACGGUAGCUAAUACCGCAUAACGUCGCAAGACCAAAGAGGGGGACCUUCGGGCCUCUUGCCAUCGGAUGUGCCCAGAUGGGAUUAGCUAGUAGGUGGGGUAACGGCUCACCUAGGCGACGAUCCCUAGCUGGUCUGAGAGGAUGACCAGCCACACUGGAACUGAGACACGGUCCAGACUCCUACGGGAGGCAGCAGUGGGGAAUAUUGCACAAUGGGCGCAAGCCUGAUGCAGCCAUGCCGCGUGUAUGAAGAAGGCCUUCGGGUUGUAAAGUACUUUCAGCGGGGAGGAAGGGAGUAAAGUUAAUACCUUUGCCCAUUGACGUUACCAGCAGAAGAAGCACCGGCUAACUCCGUG
rnacentral:rRNA from 1 species